rnacentral:rRNA from 1 species
UAUGGUGACUAUAGCGGCAGGGCCCACCUCUUCCCAUUCCGAACAGAGAAGUUAAGCCUGCCUGCGCAGAUGGUACUGCAUUGUGGGAGAGUAUGUCGUCGCCAACU